rnacentral:rRNA from 1 species
CACGUGUGCAACCAACCCCGUACCGGGAGAUAACCCGCGGAAACGUGGACUAACAUCCCAUGAUACUCGAGGGCCGCAUGGCUCUCGAUUUAAAAUUCCGGUGGUACGGGACGGGCACGCGCGACAUUAGGUAGUUGGCGGGGUAACGGCCCACCAAGCCGACGAUGUCUAGGAGUUCUGAGAGGAAGGUCCCCCACACUGGAACUGAGACACGGUCCAGACUCCUACGGGAGGCAGCAGUGAGGAAUAUUGGUCAAUGGGCGAGAGCCUGAACCAGCCAAGUCGCGUGAGGGAAGAAUGGUCUAUGGCCUGUAAACCUCUUUUGUCAGGGAAGAAUAAGGAUGACGAGUCAUUCGAUGCCAGUACUUGACGAAUAAGCAUCGGCUAACUCCGUGCCAGCAGCCGCGGUAAUACGGGGGAUGCGAGCGUUAUCCGGAUUUAUUGGGUUUAAAGGGCGCGUAGGCGGGACGUCAAGUCAGCGGUAAAAGACUGCAGCUAAACUGUAGCACGCCGUUGAAACUGGCGCCCUGGAGACGAGACGAGGGAGGCGGAACAAGUGAAGUAGCGGUGAAAUGCAUAGAUAUCACUUGGAACCCCGAUAGCGAAGGCAGCUUCCCAGGCUCGUUCUGACGCUGAUGCGCGAGAGCGUGGGUAGCGAACAGGAUUAGAUACCCUGGUAGUCCACGCCGUAAACGAUGCUCACUGGAUCUUGGCGAUACACUGCCAGGGUUCAAGCGAAAGUAUUAAGUGAGCCACCUGGGGAGUACGUCGGCAACGAUGAAACUCAAAGGAAUUGACGGGGGCCCGCACAAGCGGAGGAACAUGUGGUUUAAUUCGAUGAUACGCGAGGAACCUUACCCGGGUUUAAAUGUAGAUUGCAUGAGGUGGAAACGCUUCUUCCCUUCGGGGCUAUUUACAAGGUGCUGCAUGGUUGUCGUCAGCUCGUGCCGUGAGGUGUCGGGUUAAGUCCCAUAACGAGCGCAACCCCUAUCGCCAGUUGCCAUCGGUUCAAGCCGGGCACUCUGUCGAGACUGCCACCGUAAGGUGCGAGGAAGGCGGGGAUGACGUCAAAUCAGCACGGCCCUUACACCCGGGGCGACACACGUGUUACAAUGGCCGGUACAGAGGGCAGCCACGGGGUGACCCGGAGCGAAUCUCUAAAGCCGGUCGUAGUUCGGACUGGAGUCUGCAACCCGACUCCACGAAGUUGGAUUCGCUAGUAAUCGCGCAUCAGC